rnacentral:piRNA from 1 species
UAGCACCUGUGUGGGUUUUUGUUUAC